CAUCAUCGUGCAACCAUUACGCUUUGUGCAAUCCUGUGUACGUCAAAUUUUCAUUUUCCCCACUCAAAGUUUCGAAAUAAUUACUUUCUUUUCGCUAAUUUUUCCCCUUUCUACGCGAUGCUCGUGUCGUACUGGCAAUAUUUAAAGUGGAGAUUUGAAACGAAGAAGAAAUUGAUAUCAGAAACUGUUUCGAUCUCUCUAUAGAUUGACGCUGAUAUAGCGUCAAGUUUCUUUCAUCAAGGAAGCUCACGCGAAUCUAAUGGAAAUCGAAAAUUCUAACUUUGAGAGGUUAUGCACAGGCUCUUAUGGCAGGCACACUUCCUGUGCGACGAUUCGUAUUUAAUGAAAUAGAGAAUCCUCCCAACUUUCAAGAGCCAAAAACGAGAAUAAGAAAAUAGAAGAUUUUUAGAUAUCAAUGACGUCUUGAGAAAGUCUUGUUACCAGUGAAAAUGACUUCGAAAUGGAAAAAGAAAAACACUUUUUUGAGGUUAACGAGUAAUAACGAUCAACGGUGGAAGGUUUGACAACACCAUGAGCCAGCAGCUGGUUUAAAAUAUAGAUAUGCAUACGCAUAUAAAUAGAAAAUGGCUGUUGUCACAUUUUGCUUGACGAUUUUACUACAAUAGUAUUUUAAUUAACCGCUAUCAUUAUAUUAAAAAUUGAUCAACCACAAUAAAUAAGUUACGCAUAUAAUAUUAA